rnacentral:rRNA from 1 species
CCUCGCCGCGUGGUGGAAGAAGCCCUUCGGGGUGUAAACACCUGUCAGUGGGGAAGAUAAUGACGGUACCCACAGAGGAAGGGACGGCUAACUACGUGCCAGCAGCCGCGGUAAUACGUAGGUCCCGAACGUUGCGCGA